rnacentral:rRNA from 1 species
GAUGAACGCUGGCGGCGUGCCUAAUACAUGCAAGUCGAGCGAACAGAUAAGGAGCUUGCUCCUUUGACGUUAGCGGCGGACGGGUGAGUAACACGUGGGUAACCUACCUAUAAGACUGGGAUAACUUCGGGAAACCGGAGCUAAUACCGGCUAAUAUUUCGAACCGCAUGGUUCGAUAGUGAAAGAUGGUUUUGCUAUCACUUAUAGAUGGACCCGCGCCGUAUUAGCUAGUUGGUAAGGUAACGGCUUACCAAGGCGACGAUACGUAGCCGACCUGAGAGGGUGAUCGGCCACACUGGAACUGAGACACGGUCCAGACUCCUACGGGAGGCAGCAGUAGGGAAUCUUCCGCAAUGGGCGAAAGCCUGACGGAGCAACGCCGCGUGAGUGAUGAAGGUCUUCGGAUCGUAAAACUCUGUUAUUAGGGAAGAACAUACGUGUAAGUAACUGUGCACGUCUUGACGGUACCUAAUCAGAAAGCCACGGCUAACUACGUG